UCGAGGGGCAGCGGGGUUGUAGCAAUACAACUGCCGGCGACCGGCGCACGGGUGAGUAACACGUAUGUAACCUGCCCUCUGCAGGGGGAUAAGCGGAAGAAAUUCCGUCUAAUACCGCAUAAUACAAUUUGGAGACAUCUCCGGGUUGUCAAAGGAGUGAUCCGGCAGAGGAUGGACAUGCGGCGCAUUAGCUAGUCGGCGGGGUAACGGCCCACCGAGGCUACGAUGCGUAGGGGUUCUGAGAGGAAGGUCCCCCACACUGGUACUGAGACACGGACCAGACUCCUACGGGAGGCAGCAGUGAGGAAUAUUGGCCAAUGGGCGGAAGCCUGAACCAGCCAAGUCGCGUGAGGGAAGACGGUCCUAUGGAUUGUAAACCUCUUUUGCAGGGGAGCAAGGCGCGGUACGUGUACCGCGAA
rnacentral:rRNA from 1 species